AGGGAUGUAGCGCAGCUUGGUAGCGCGUUUGUUUUGGGUAAAAUGUCACAGGUUCAAUCUGUCAUCCUAUCCUAAUAGUAGUUAUGUAUCAGCAGUAACAUAGAUCAAUUGCGACGAUUCAAUUGAUACAUACUCAAUAUGGAGAACUAUUCAUAUUGAGUAUGUAUGCAUGCAAGAUCUAUUGCAUCAAAAAUUAUUUAUGAAAGAAGCGCUCUUAGUUCAGUUCGGUAGAACGCGGGUCUCCAAAACCCGAUGUCGUAGGUUCAAAUCCUACAGAGCGUGA
rnacentral:tRNA from 1 species